AUCCAUCUGACGAGUCCGAAAUAGGACGAGUCAUGCAU
rfam:Schistosoma rodhaini strain Burundi genome assembly, scaffold: SROB_scaffold0000758